rnacentral:lncRNA from 1 species
AGGAUGGAGAGCAGGGAGGAGGGAAGGGGGAGGAGGGAGAGAGGGAGGAAAGAGAAGGGAGUAGGAGGGUGGAGGAGGGAGAAAAGGGGGAGGAGGGAGAGAGAGGGGAAAAAAAGGAGGAAAGAGAAGGGAGUAGGAGGGUGGAGGAGGGAGAAAAGGGGAGCAGGGAAAGAAGGGAGAAGAAGGAGGUAAAGGAGGAGGAGGGAUGGGGGAGGGAGAGGAGAAGAAAGAGGAAGGAGACGGAAGAGGAGGACGGAGGAGCGGGUGUCAAGGCCAGACUUUGGGAACCAAGGUGUGAGCCCUAUUAGCUUCAGCCCAUCCUGACACACCGUACAGAGAAUGCAGAGUCCAGAGAGGGCACCCAAGUCUGCAAGGUUGCACAGGCCCAGUGCAGCCAAAGGGCCUCACCUGUGCGGCUGCUCCUGCCUGUGGAAGCAGGAGCUCCCUGAGUCCCCACAGCGACCUUCAGACAAGUGUCAUCUGGCACAUUUCUCAGAAGAGGAGACUGAGCGCCCAGAGGUGGAAAGAGAUACCGGAGGCAGAAUCGUGCUGCAAGGGACAGGAAGAGUCACCGGUCUCCGAGCUCAAAUACCCGCCAUUGGCUGUAUUUCCCUUGUCCUGUUGACUGUGUCCUGAAUGGAUGGAUGAGUCUGUGACUCCCCAAGGUAAGGAAUCUUCUUUGUUCAACACCAGGGCAUGGCCUGAAAAACCCGUUAGCAGAGUGAAUGGAUUGUGUGUGUUUGUUUUGAAAGGGUAAGGCGUCGCAAGUUCCGAAAUUCAAAAAGUACCAAAUGUGGCCAGGCGCGGUGGCUCACGCCUGUAAUCCCAGAACUUUGGGAGGCCGAGGCAGGUGGAUCACGAGGUCAAGAGAUCGAGACCAUCUUGACUAACAUGGUGAAAUCCUGUCUCUACUAAAAAUACAAAAAUUAGCCGGACAUGGUGGUGGGUGCCUGUAAUCCCAGCUACUGGGGAGGCUGAGGCAGGAGAAUUCCUGGAACCCAGGAGGCAGAGGCUGCAGUGAGCCAAGAUCUCAGCCCUGCACUCCAUCCUGGGUGACAGAUAAAAACUCCGCCUCAAAAGGAAAAAGCAGAUUAGUGGCUGGAGGUCAGGGUCUGGAGACAAGGGGAGGGGGUGACUGCGGGAAGGGCACAGGGGGCCUUGUCUGGGUACCAGAAAUGUUCUACAUCUUGAUCGGGUUAUGAUUAAAUGAUUGUACAUGUUUAUCAGAACUCAUCUAACAUACCCCU